rnacentral:misc_RNA from 1 species
GUGCCCGUCCACCGAACGGUCGGCAGGCGAUUCGCAUCGGUCGUGCGGGUGGUAUGGUUCCCCAGAGGCCGGUUCUUGUGCUGCCUACCCGUUCAGGGGAAGCGGUCCACUUGUCGUAAGCCUCCAUCCGGCGCCUUCCAAUGGGCGCAGGAGGACAACGUAGCACCCCCCGCGCUCCACCGAGCCUUCGUCGGUCGCGUGGACCGCGGGGACGUGCGACGCUCUCGGACCCAGCGAACGCCGUGGGCGGGGACUCACGUCCCAGUCCCGAUAGAAGCUUCGGUGUAAUGCUGACGGCCGCCCCCGCCCCCCGACCGCCCCGGCGGCUCGAGGGCGAGGCGCGGCGUCGCGGAGGAAUGCUACCU